UUCACUUUCUUCUUCUUCCAUUUCUUUGAAGCUCUCCUCUUCUUAGGAAUGGCUAGGGUUUAUGAUUUCUCCCUAUAGAAUUUGGUGCUUUUUGCUCCUAUCAACUGUGAUUUCUCGUUCAUCGGUGCAAGAAUCUGAACUUCUCUUCGUUUUCUACUCUUCUUUCAUUUCCAUAUUUGUACUUUUUACUUUUUUACAAUGUUUUUCUUCUCUGAUUUACGUUUCUGUUAUCUUCUUCUUUUGGUUAAUUACUUGGCGAUUUUUACUCAUAUUAUUGAUAUAGCACAUUGCAUCAAUGAUCGAGGCUUUUGAACUUGGGCUUCUGUUUGUUACUAGUGAUGGUUGCAUUUACAUGUCUACACUAAGGAUUCAAGAUUAUUGAACUCAAUUUCUAGCUGAAUUUCACAUUGUAUCGAUUCGUAUUGCACAGUCUUACGGAUUAUAUCUAGUGCUUCUAAGUUGCGUUUACAUUGUAAUUAUACUGAUCCAUCCCGAUCUUUUGAUGAGACCGAAUCCUUCUUUUUUUUUUUUUUUUUUUUUUACUUUUUUGUAUCCUCAACUAUGAUGAGAGCGGGUUUUCGUACUGUUAUUGCAAAUUUCGUCUUUCUUCAUUUUCUUUUAAGAAUAUCUUUCAAUUUGGUGAGGUUUGGCUAUGAAAGAAAGCCCGCCACAAGAAUUAUGUAUCGUAGUCUAGAUUUAUCAAAUAUUAUCAGCCAUUUUCUGUGCUCUCAUUGUAGGUUUUGCAACACUACUUACUUGGCAUCUUUUGGUGGCAUUCAUGCAGAUGCUCAAAGCUUUAAGUACAUGCCGAGGAAAAUGCAUAUAUAUUUUUAUAAUGAUUUUGUUUGGAAAUACCUCACUUCAUAAUCACCACCUUCCAGUGUGGCAACAUUUUUAGUGGUUGGUAUGAACAAAAAAGAGAAAAAAAAAGAGACAAGACACGAACCAAAUUGAAACGUACGUGAGAUUUUAAUUGUCUAUGCCAACUAUUAACUCUGUUUAAUUGGAUUUUCCGUGUAGCUUUGAGUUUCUGCUUUUUCCAUGGCAUUUUCUGGAGAAACAUAAUGGAAAUUUCACAGAUUCAGUUUAACUUCUGGAUCUUUUGCUCUAAUGCUCUCUGCGCUUUGGUGUUGAACUUCUCUAUUUUCUUGGCAAUUGGAAGAACUGGCACCGUUACCAUUCGAGUUGGUGGUGUUCUUCAGGAUUGUGUUCUUGUAGCCUUUUCAACUGUUCUAUUUCAUUAGUUUUAGAAUAUACAGUUGCACUCUGCGGUGUAAUUGCUAAAAGAUGAAGGAUGUUCACGUAUCUCAUUCUCCACUUUCUACUGACAACAUUCCCAAAAUAACUUGUAAAGAUGAACGAAAGGCAUUGAGAACAAGAAGUCUUUAUAAGGUAUUUCCUUACUACUAUUAGUGUUUGAUAAUCAAAAGAUAGCCCUAAAGCCAACCUAACCGAUUACAGAGAGUUGGUUCUCUCCCUCCUCUCGCUCCUUUUCUAUUACCAAAAAAACCAAUUUCUGCCAAUCGCAACCUUUUAUUAUAUAUAGUGGUUCUUAUCUCCAUUCUAACCAACUUUCACUCUGGACUACCCUUUUUACCUUUCCUAGAAUAUUUCAGCAAUAUCGGUGGCCUAACAGUCUGAUACUAAUUAUAGAAGAAAUUUUGAACUACAACAAUAGAUGUGGCUAGCUUUACGGUAAUUCUUUAUUUCAUAGAGUUGAGACUUUUAAUACUUGUUGAAUGAUUUGUUCGAUCAGCUUCUUUGAAAUAUAAUUUAAUGUGUUUUUUUUUCCUCUUAUACCAACCAUGUUUAAUAUUUUUUUUACAAUAAAAACAUGUUAAGUGUUCUCAAGUAAAUCAAGACUAACAUUUAAAAUCAUUUUCUAAAUCCUAAUCCCAGAAAAAGGGGGGAAAUUGUUUUAAAAUGUGUUUGUGCAUAUUUAGUCUUCAUGCCUCAGUAUUGCAAACUAUGAAUGUAAAAUGUUUGGAAGAGAUGCUAAAGAAGAUGCAUCACUCAUUCCAUCGCAAAUAGCGACAAUCACCAGUGGUAUGCUUCUCGAGCAAAUGUUAUAAUUGACCUGUGUAUAAAAAUAGACAACAAUGGGGUCCCUUUUGAUUCCUAGUUUAGCAAAGAACAUGUGUUGAUGUAAGUAAUACACAUCAACACAAUUAUUACAAUUUCUCCUGCUCAUCUUUUCCGUGUCCUUCAACAAGAAAGCUAUCACAUUCUUCAACUCAUCCACAUCCGACGUUUGUAUGUUUAUUCUUUUGAGUUGACAUAGAAAACUUCAAUUUAGUCACUCCAACUCCAAAUCCUCCUAUAUGGCAAUGAGAUACUAAUUGAUCUUCAACCAACCAACAUCAACCAAAUGAGUAGUUUCCGCACGACUACUAUUUUGUUCAAUACUAGAACAACGUAAAUAGGUGAAAAUAUCAUUAUAGUAGGAGAGUACUUGAAAUACAAUAAAAGAAAAGGAAAGUGUUGUGAUUAUCAAGCAGUCGACAGUGGGAAUGGAAUUAAUAUUGGCUAUAAGACGCAUAGUCUGAAGUGUACAGAACAAUGUUAAGUGGGUAAAUUCCGCAAAGACAUUAAUUGCCUCAAAAGUAAAAAACAUUUACACAUGAUCACACACUGUAGUCUCUCUUGAAAUUUGAAAAAAAAAAAAAAAA